AUGUGGAUUAAUUCGAUGUCAACGCGAAAACCUUACCUACCCUUGACAUGUCCGGAAUCCGAAGAGAUUUGGGAGUGCUCGCAAGAGAACCGGAACACAGGUGCUGCAUGGCUGUCGUCAGCUCGUGUCGUGAGAUGUGGGUUAAGUCCCGCAACGAGCGCAACCCUUGUCAUUAGUUGCCAUCAUUUGGUUGGGCACUCUAAUGAGACUGCCGGUGACAAACCGGAGGAAGGUGGGGAUGACGUCAAGUCCUCAUGGCCCUUAUGGGUAGGGCUUCACACGUCAUACAAUGGUCGGUACAGAGGGUUGCCAACCCGCGAGGGGGAGCUAAUCCCACAAAGCCGAUCGUAGUCCGGAUCGCAGUCUGCAACUCGACUGCGUGAAGUCGGAAUCGCUAGUAAUCGUGGAUCAGAAUGUCACGGUGAAUACGUUCCCGGGUCUU
rnacentral:rRNA from 1 species